GGAAUGUUCAUUGACGAAUUUGGAUAGACAAUAGAAGGAAAUACCAAUAAGUCACCUUGUAUACACAGAGAAAUAGUGCAACACAAAUUAUAACGAGGGAAAUCAACAUAAUUAGAAUGAUAAAAACAGAUCAGUACAAAAUUGUGCCAGACAUCUUUUUAGGUUAGGAAAAAGGAUAACCCAGAGAACUAGAUCAAAGCGAUUCUGACAAAAUUAUAAUGAACUAAAAAGGCUUACUCGACAAACUUUACAAUAUGUGAACUAAUUUGAUAAUUAAUAGAAGCAACCUCAAUAUAAUAAUAAUAAUAAUAAUA
rnacentral:misc_RNA from 1 species